rnacentral:rRNA from 1 species
UACAGAGGGGGCAAGCGUUGUUCGGAAUUACUGGGCGUAAAGGGCGCGUAGGCGGCCUUCUAAGUCGAACGUGAAAUCCCCGGGCUCAACCCGGGAACUGCGUCCGAUACUGGAAGGCUUGAAUCCGGGAGAGGGAUGUGGAAUUCCAGGUGUAGCGGUGAAAUGCGUAGAUAUCUGGAGGAACACCGGUGGCGAAGGCGACAUCCUGGACCGGUAUUGACGCUGAGGCGCGAAAGCCAGGGGAGCCAA